GGAGGGGUGCUCCGAAUGGUAAGGAACCGCUCUCGAAAAGCGGCGCCCAGAAAUGGGCUUGUGAGUUCAAGUCUCACCCCCUCCG
rnacentral:tRNA from 1 species